ensembl:lncRNA
AGCCGUUGAAAGAAGAAGACGCUCCUCUUGAGACGCGAGUGUUCCGUUGGCGGCGGGGUGCGAACACGGGAGUCUCCCACCGGCCAAGCGGGAGAGAAACGAGACCCCCUUUUUUUGUUCGGUUCAGCAGCCGGGAAGAAGUCGCAUGGAUUUACUGAACACUUCCGCCAUUUUUCGGGCGACGCAGGACGCUUAGAAAACAAGUCAGUCAAUUCAGCACGUCCCAAGUGGGAGAUCUCGAUCUACCCGGCGGUGCUGCUAAUUAUGGGGACAUCCCAUCAGGUUUUGGCGUUCCCCUCUCUGAUCCUCUUUCCCCGUUGGCUGCUGUUCCCCACAGGGCAGAGCUGUAUGGGGGUAAGACGGCUGAGAGGACACACCGGGGGACACGAGGCUGAGGGUACUGGUCUGUUUUGGAACAAAAAGGAGAAAGAUGUCGCUCAGCGGCGGCCUCCUGCCGCCCGGAACGUAAGCGCAGCAGCUGACGAGGAGCAGACGGAGAGCUGGGAGGAAAAGCCACUCUCACUUUGGAGUCUCAACAUUCAGCUCGGUUCAACGGGAGAAAAGGGAGUCAUCCACAUGUGUGUCGCUCACUUUAGCAAAGACUCAGUUUGA